GACGAACGCUGGCGGCGUGCUUAACACAUGCAAGUCGAACGGGAUUUAGUAAACAGAAACCUCGGUGGAAGAUUACUAAUGAGAGUGGCGAACGGGUGAGUAACGCGUGAGCAACCUGCCUAUGACAGUGGGAUAGCCUCGGGAAACCGGGAUUAAUACCGCAUAAAAUCGUAGAAACACAUGUUUUAACGGUCAAAGAUUUAUCGGUCAUAGAUGGGCUCGCGUCUGAUUAGCUAGUUGGUGAGAUAACAGCCCACCAAGGCGACGAUCAGUAGCCGGUCUGAGAGGAUGAACGGCCACAUUGGAACUGAGACACGGUCCAAACUCCUACGGGAGGCAGCAGUGGGGAAUAUUGCACAAUGGGGGAAACCCUGAUGCAGCGACGCCGCGUGAACGAAGAAGGUAUUCGUAUCGUAAAGUUCUGUCCUAGGGGAAGAUAAUGACAGUACCAUAGAAGAAAGCUCCGGCUAAAUACGU
rnacentral:rRNA from 1 species